rnacentral:sRNA from 1 species
UUCUUACACAAGACACGAAAAUGUUUGCGAUCAAAACUUCAAAUGAUUAAGCAUUUUAUAAUUUAAUUUGGAUAACGGAUACAUUUUUCCAGGCAAAGGUAACGAUUAUGUUUGGAAAAUCUGAAUCAAGAUGACAUCAUCGUGAACAUAAUUACAUUUUAAGACGGAGCAGAACAACGAGACAAACUACGAAUACAUUGAAAAAACAUAUGCAGAUCCUGCUGAUUUAUGACAAGAAAUUAACUAGUUUUUAUAAUCACACAUGGAAGUACUAUGACUACUACUUCUACAUCAU